rnacentral:rRNA from 1 species
GACAGAGGGCGCGAGCGUUGUUCGGAAUUACUGGGCGUAAAGCGUACGUAGGCGGCUUUGUAAGUUAGAGGUGAAAGCCCGGGGCUCAACCCCGGAAUUGCCUUUAAGACUGCAUCGCUUGAAUCAUGGAGAGGUGAGUGGAAUUCCGAGUGUAGAGGUGAAAAUUCGUAGAUAUUCGGAAGAACACCAGUGGCGAAGGCGACUCACUGGACAUGUAUUGACGCUGAGGUACGAAAGCGUGGGGAGCAAACAGG